ACGAACGCUGGCGGCGUGCUUAACCCAUGCAAGUCGAACGGAAAGGCCCUGCUUUUGUGGGGUGCUCGAGUGGCGAACGGGUGAGUAACACGUGAGUAACCUGCCCUUGACUUUGGGAUAACUUCAGGAAACUGGGGCUAAUACCGGAUAGGAGCUCCUGCUGCAUGGUGGGGGUUGGAAAGUUUCGGCGGUUGGGGAUGGACUCGCGGCUUAUCAGCUUGUUGGUGGGGUGGUGGCUUACCAAGGCUUUGACGGGUAGCCGGCCUGAGAGGGUGACCGGCCACAUUGGGACUGAGAUACGGCCCAGACUCCUACGGGAGGCAGCAGUGGGGAAUAUUGCACAAUGGGCGGAAGCCUGAUGCAGCAACGCCGCGUGCGGGAUGACGGCCUUCGGGUUGUAAACCGCUUUCGCCUGUGACGAAGCGUGAGUGACGGUAAUGGGUAAAGAAGCACCGGCUAACUACGUG
rnacentral:rRNA from 1 species